GAGUUUGAUCGUGGCUCAGAAUCAACGCUGGCGGCGUGCCUCAGACAUGCAAGUCGAACGAUUAAACUUUCCUUCGGGAAAGAUAUAAAGUGGCGCACGGGUGAGUAACACGUGGGUAAUCUGCCGAGAAGUGGGGGAUAGCUCGCCGAAAGGCGAAUUAAUACCGCAUGUGGUCAGGGGAGACAUCUUCCCGACACUAAAAGCCGGGGCAACCUGGCGCUUUUUGAUGAGCCCGCGGCCUAUCAGCUAGUUGGUGGGGUAACGGCCUACCAAGGCGGUGACGGGUAGCUGGUCUGAGAGGACGACCAGCCACACUGGAACUGAGACACGGUCCAGACUCCUACGGGAGGCAGCAGUGGGGAAUAUUGGACAAUGGGCGCAAGCCUGAUCCAGCCAUGCCGCGUGGGUGAAGAAGGCC
rnacentral:rRNA from 1 species